AAAUUGGGGAAGGACGGUGACAAAUUAAGUGAUUUUAAUCACCUUAUAAUGGCAGGGUGAGUCAGAUAAUGAGCAAAGAUUGAAACCGAGCAGAAUCCUAUGGGGCCUUUCCAGAAACUAAGACUGCAACACAAGUGGAGGAUGCUGACCACAAGCCUGUAAACCCUCGACCAGGUGGAAGCAGAAGGCUGAUGACUGAGAUUCCUGAAACAUCACCCCUGCCCUCACCCCUAUUAUUGCCUUUUAAAACUCUUACCUGAAAGCCACUGGGAAGUUCAGGUCUUCAGGGUACAAGCUGCCCGUUCUCCUCGCCUGGUGCCCCGCAAUAAACGCUGUACUAUACCACAA